UACGUAGGAGGCAAGCGUUAUCCGGAAUUACUGGGCGUAAAGGGCGCGUAGGCGGCCUGAUAAGUAGGGGGUGAAAUCCUGCGGCUUAACCGCAGGGCUGCCUUCUAGACUGUCAGGCUAGAGCACAGUAGAGGCAGGUGGAAUUCCCGGUGUAGCGGUGAAAUGCGUAGAUAUCUGAAGGAACAUCAGUGGCGAAAGCGACUUCCUGGACCAAUACUGACGCUCAUGUGCGAAAGCGUGGGGGAGCAAAACAGG
rnacentral:rRNA from 1 species